rnacentral:rRNA from 1 species
GAUCCUGGCUCAGGACGAACGCUGGCGGCGUGCCUAAUACAUGCAAGUCGAGCGGAGUUUAGUUGAGUACUUGUACGAGACUGGACUUAGCGGCGGACGGGUGAGUAACGCGUGAGCGACCUGGCCUAUACAGGGGGAUAACAGGGGAGAAAUUCCUGCUAAUACCGCAUAAGACCACAGUACUGCAUGGUACAGGGGUCAAAGGGGAGAUCCGGUAUAGGAUGGGCUCGCGUCCCAUUAGCUAGUUGG